GCCUUCGUGGUGUAGUGGUCAGCACACUCGGCUCGUAUCGAGAGGCCCGUGGUUCGAGUCCCGGCUAGGGCA
rnacentral:tRNA from 1 species